UGAGACUAUGAAAGCAUUGGGAACGAACUGGGGAUACCAUACUCCGUGGCAUCCUCAAAGCUCAGGAAAGGUGGAGCGAAUGAAUGGUGAAAUUAAAAAGCAGCUAACGAAACUUAUGGUAGAAACCAAGGCUUCCUGGAUAAAAUGCCUGCCGCUUGCUUUACUAAACAUACGGACGCAACCCCGGACUGAUAUAGGGGUUUCGCCUUUUGAGAUGCUUUAUGGUAUGCCUUAUGACCUAGAAAUGCCUUCUGAUCAUCCACAGCUACAGGACAAUCAGUUAAAACCCUAUUUAAUACAGUUGAUGAAUCGACGAGAGAAGUUACGAGCAAGGGGUCUAGUGGUACAACGUCCCCCAUUAGAUAUAGCAAUACACAGAAUACAGCCAGGUGAUAAGGUCCUAAUAAAAUCUUGGAGGGAAACUUCAUUAACACCUCAUUGGGAGGGACCCUAUGUUGUCUUACUUACUACAGAAACAGCAGUCCGAACCGCGGAAAAGGGAUGGACGCAUGCCAGCCGUGUGAAGGGACCAAUCCAUGAAGAAAAGUGGGAAGCAGCCCUGGGUUCUGAUGACUUGAAGCUGACACUGAAACGGACUUGAUAAGUAUUAACUGUGCAUCGUGGGAGGGGAGAAAGCCCUGUUUAAUCAAAAGCGGGUGCAAACAAUUUAACAGCCAUCUAUCAAAUUCCCCUGAAGAACACUCCUGCUGCCGAGAAGAAUUCACACCUUGUAGUUCGGCUGCAACCGAAUUGACAAGCGAGGCAGAGAAGUGAAACGGUGGGGAACCAGAGGAGGGAGAGGCUGAAUAAAACCCAUUAAAACACCCCGAGAAAAUUGCUUUCAAUCACUUCCUACGAUGCAUAGGAAUCAGUAUCUUGAUACUGGCAGGCUGGGGGUUUGCACAUCACCCCCACCAACCUUUUAAGUGGAGCCUGAUUCAGUGGGAAAGCCAGGAGGUCAUUGCAACCCAUGUAACAGUAGGAGGAACAAGUUUUAAUGCCACCCUAUGUCAGCUGGUUCCGAGGCCCCGGUGUUGGGAAUAUAUGGGAUUUUAUAUGUGCCCAAAUUCAAAUCCUGGAAAGGGGUACUGUAACGCCCCUAAUCAAUACUAUCGUAAUUACUGGGGUUGUGAGACUAUAGCUCCUAGUUGGAUACCGGGGGACGGUAGGAAUAAUAUUAAUAAAGAAGGAGGAAGUGAGAACUUCCCAGUCGGUGGGUCCCAACAAGGUAUUGUUGGAGGAAGCCCCGAGGGCUAAGACUACGAAGGAACCCCUGAGGGCUAAGAUUACAGAAGUCCCUGGAGCGUUAACUCCUGAUGAUAUGGUGGUAGUUCCUACAGGGGCAGAAGAGACCGGAAAUGGAAUUACAUCUGAGAAUGAAAUCACACCUAAGAACAAUAUGUGGAAGGUUAUAAAUGCUGGUUAUCAGGUAAUAAUCAUGCCAAGGAUUCUAUACCACUCUGAAGAAUAUAUAUAUACUCAACACACGGUAGCGGACUACCAUCUGGAAAAGAGAGAGCCAUUUACAGCCGUAACUUUGGCCACGUUAAUGAUUUUAGGAGCAGCAGGAGCUGGUACUGGAGUGGCUUCUCUGAUUAAGCAAAGUCAAGAGUUUACUUCUCUGCGUAUUGCCGUUGAUGAGGACCUGGCCCGAAUUGAGCAAUCUAUUUCGGCCCUGGAAAAAUCGGUCAGAUCACUCUCGGAGGUAGUAUUACAAAACCGGAGAGGAUUAGACUUGGUCUUUUUGCAACAAGGAGGGCUAUGUGCAGCCUUAAGAGAAGAGUGCUGCGUGUAUGCCAACCAUACUGGGGUGGUAAGGGACACAAUGACAAAACUCCGAGAGGGUCUAGAGAAAAGAAAAAGAGAGAAUGAGGCUCGGCAAAAUUGGUAUGAAUCCUGGUUUAAUUAUUCACCUUGGCUUACUACUUUGUUGUCAACUAUAGCAGGACCUUUAUUGUUGUUGAUACUAACAUUAACUUUUGGACCAUGUAUUUUUAAUAGAGUAAUUGCAAUUGUAAAAA